AUUGAACGCUGGCGGCGUGCCUAAUACAUGCAAGUCGAACGGAGAUUAAGUAGCUUGCUAUUUAAUCUUAGUGGCGCACGGGUGAGUAAUAUAUAGCUAACUUGCCCAUUACUAAGGGACAACAGUUGGAAACGACUGCUAAUACCUUAUACUCCGUAUCUAUAUAAGUAGGUACGGGAAAGUGUUUGCGGUAAUGGAUAGGGCUAUAUCGUAUCAGCUAGUUGGUAAGGUAAUGGCUUACCAAGGCUAUGACGCGUAACUGGUCUGAGAGGAUGAUCAGUCACACUGGAACUGGAACACGGUCCAGACUCCUACGGGAGGCAGCAGUAGGGAAUAUUGCUCAAUGGGGGAAACCCUGAAGCAGCAACGCCGCGAGGAGGAUGACACUUUUCGGAGCGUAAACUCCUUUUCUUGGGAAAGAAUUAUGACGGUACCCAAGGAAUAAGCUCCGGCUAACUCCGUGCCAGCAGCCGCAGUAAUAC
rnacentral:rRNA from 1 species